UCUGGGCGGGGUAGCGUCCGCUUGUAACCCAAUCGCGGGGGAAGGAGGGUGAGGAUGUGGGGCGCCGGGUAAGGGCCUGCGGAGGCGUGUGGAGGGCCUGCCCACUCCAAGCACGGAGUCGCUAGUGGGAUCUCGCCGGAGGGUGGGGUUGCGCGGGCGAUAGUGAGGGGGGCACCGCGUCAGGCGGGCAACCGAGCAGCGUUCACUCCCCGCUCUGUGUAGUGGAGGGAUAACGGGUCUGAAUGUUCUGCGCAGAUCACCCUGUCCGGCAUGCAUCCACAUACCAUCUUCCGU
rfam:Physcomitrella patens subsp. patens PHYPAscaffold_655 genomic scaffold, whole genome shotgun sequence.